CAGAUUAUAGGCUUGUAGCCGCUUUUUGUUUACAUCAAAUAGUUCGGUCGUGCGAUCCGGCCUAAUCUGA
rnacentral:tRNA from 1 species